rnacentral:rRNA from 1 species
CCAGACUCCUACGGGAGGCAGCAGUGGGGAAUAUUGCGCAAUGGGGGCAACCCUGACGCAGCCAUGCCGCGUGAAUGAAGAAGGCCUUCGGGUUGUAAAGUUCUUUCGGUAGCGAGGAAGGCAUUUAGUUUAAUAGACUAGGUGAUUGACGUUAACUACAGAAGAAGCACCGGCUAACUCCGUGCCAGCAGCCGCGGUAAUACGGAGGGUGCGAGCGUUAAUCGGAAUAACUGGGCGUAAAGGGCACGCAGGCGGUGACUUAAGUGAGGUGUGAAAGCCCCGGGCUUAACCUGGGAAUUGCAUUUCAUACUGGGUCGCUAGAGUACUUUAGGGAGGGGUAGAAUUCCACGUGUAGCGGUGAAAUGCGUAGAGAUGUGGAGGAAUACCGAAGGCGAAGGCAGCCCCUUGGGAAAGUACUGACGCUCAUGUGCGAAAGCGUGGGGAGCAAACAGGAUUAGAUACCCUGGUAGUCCACGCUGUAAACGAUGUCGAUUUGGGGGUUGAGCUUUAAGCUUGGCGCCCGUAGCUAACGUGAUAAAUCGACCGCCUGGGGAGUACGGCCGCAAGGUUAAAACUCAAAUGAAUUGACGGGGGCCCGCACAAG